GUUCCCUGUCACAAGAAGAGAAAGGACCAGCAGGGAAUCAGAAGGUCCUUGAAGAGGCCACCUCCCCUCCUUGGCUCUCCAAUGCCAUGUCUCUGAGCGCGGGGUUGAGAGCCAGCAGCCGGGCAUUGGGUGCACCGGCUCCCACGCCCUUCCCAGCACCAGGACCUCACCUCCAGGAUGUCGGAGGCCGGGAUGUCCAUGGCUUCUGUUCCUCCGUAGUACAAAUACUGCAUCAUCAUCUGCAGCGGGAAGAGGCCCUGCGUGAACACCAAACGGCCCCGCGGCACCCACGUCCUCUGGCUUCACCAGAGUGCCGCUCUCCGCCCUGGGCCUGGCUGCGCCCUCCACCCUCUCCAUGUGGAUGCGUGCACAUCCCCACUCACUGAAGCGGAUAUUUUGUGCAGUCUCUACAGGGGCCUACCCUCAGAAGCUGCUUCCAACUUUCCCGGCUGUGCUAGAUCUCCAGCGUGGAGGUGAGAGCCAGACCCUGUCUGCCCCCUGGAUUUGUUCCCUUGGACAGCAAGCUCAGAGCUGGGGUUGGGUCUGGUCCAGAGGUCACCUCGUUGCCUGGCCCAGACCUGGGGCUUGUGGGAACAGAGGGCCUGGGAUAUCAAAUGAGGUGGCCUAGGACUGGGGAACUACAUUUAAUUUCACUGUGGUCUGUCACAAACUCUGCCAUCACGCUGGAGCCUGGGAGGUUCCCAGUUGGAAAAAGAAAAAUGAUUCUCCCCGGUUGGCUGCAGAAACAGCCCCAGCAAGGAGCUGGCAAGUGUGUAAGUAAACACGACUCCGGCCCGCACAGUCGGGCUCUGUUAGGAGCCGGCCCCCGGGCUGGAAGAGGCACCAGAGGGUCUAGGAAGCAGCCCAACCCUGGGGGAGAAGAGUGGGGAGAUGGCUAGUCUGUCCAGGCCUGAGGUCAGUCCCCGGAGACUGUCCCUCCCCACAGAGCGGGGGGCGGGGGAGGCUCCCUCGGUCCAGCAGCCCCUGCUGGAGCACAGAUGGAGGUGUCUGUCCUUCCAGGAGGUGUGCGCCUCAGGUGCCGUCCCCUGUGCUGGGCACAGAGUGGCUGUUUGGGACACCGGCAGGACUGCCUUGGAUGAUCCAGUGCUGGGAGUGGAGCAGGUGGGGGGAUGGGGGGUAGGAUCUCCUAGGCUUGUUUGCUAAGGGGUGGCCUCAGGCCAGCCAGCCCCUCAGCAAGAAGGGGCCUGGGGGUGUGGGCCGUGAGAUGGGCCGGAGUCCUGCAGCUCUCCUUCCCAGGCCCCACGGCUCGGGAGCUGGUUCAACAAGGCCCAGCCACCUGUGGCCUGUGGAUCUCCCUGAAGUCCCUUAAAUGGAUAUUAGUCUGUGGAAGCCAGAGCUGAACCGCUCCCUGGGAACCUUGCUGCGGGAGGCGGGUGGCCAGCAGGCAGAGAUGGGUUGAUUGUGUGCAGCCCAGCAGCCUGAGGGUCCAGACAGGCUGCUCUGGGAAAGGCCCCAGGCAGCGUCAGCUACAGAGGGGGUGGCAGGGUCUCCUUCCGUCCCGGACAGGACCCCAGGAACCUGACUCCAGGAGGCUGCAGAUACUGCCGGGACAAGACUGGGGUCAGAAGCCAGGUAAGACCAGCCGGUCCUCAAAGGCCCGGGUGGGGUCGUCGGCAGUGACCUUGGCAAGAUCUAGGCUGGCCCUAACACUAUAGCCGCUGACCACAUCUAGCUUUUAAGUAUUUGGAAUACUUAAAAUACUGAAUUGAGAUGUCAAAAACACACUGGAUUUCAAAUGCUUAUGUUUUACAUUCUUGGUAUGAAAAUACAGUUGCUAAUUUUUAUAUUGAUCACAUGUAAUAUUUUGGCUACCAUGGGUUUAAUAUGUUAUUAAUUUCACUCCA